GAAAUGCGAUAAGUAGUGUGAAUUGCAGAAUUCAGUGAAUCAUCGAAUCUUUGAACGCACAUUGCGCCCUUUGGUAUUCCAAAGGGCAUGCCUGUUCGAGCGUCAUUUGUGCCCUCAAGCUUUGCUUGGUGUUGGGCGUCUUGUCUCCAGUUCGCUGGAGACUCGCCUUAAAGUAAUUGGCAGCCGGCCUACUGGUUUCGGAGCGCAGCACAAGUCGCGCUCUCUUCCAGCCAAGGUCAGCAUCCACAAAGCCUUUUUUCAACUUUUGACCUCGGAUCAGGUAGGGAUACCCGCUGAACUUAAGC
rnacentral:misc_RNA from 1 species